AGAUAUGAGGGCAAGCUAGCUGUGACAUCUGUCACCCCAUUGAUUUCAGGAUUAAUUCAGCUGAUCUGGCUGGUUAGGUGGGUGUUGCCUUCUUCUCUCACCAUUCCAUGAGCAUCCCUCCCAAAGCUCCAAGCUUGGUCAGAGAGGACGACCUUCCCUGAUAGAGGAGGACUGUUCUUCAUUCAAGGGUAUACAAGUAGCUGUGCUCCUCUGCUAAGAUCUCCAAAUAAGCCGUUAAGGUCCAUUUGUAGGAGAACAUAGGGCAGUCAAGCUUCCAAGACUCCAAACAUAUCUCAAUGAGGUGCUGCAUGUGGCGGUCUGCUAGAAAG
ensembl:misc_RNA 7SK 7SK RNA